UGUACUGUAACAUCAAAGCUUAACGACGAUGUUAUCUCUGGCAAAAAGAUCUGUAAGAACAUUGAUUGCUUGACUCAUCUGGGCCUGGGGAACCAUUGCUUGUGGUUCAGGUGCCUUCAGAUGGCCAAGUGAGAAAUCUAUUUCUAUCGCCUGUGCAUUCAUCCCUCUGAACUCCAAAUGUCGAAGGGAACAGUAAAAAUGGAAGGGGAGGGGGGAACCACCCCAACCUUGCUUUUGAAGUCUGCAGUAACAGAAGUGGUGAGAAGAUAAGGACUGACAUUGUUUUGGAAAGGUAUGAAUACUCGUGGGUAUGACGCAGGUAUAUUUGAGAGAAAGAAAUGGGACAUGGAAUUCAGGAUUGUUCAGUGUUGCUGCCGUGGGUUUCUGAGGCUCUGAGACAGGACAAUCAACCACACAGGCAACUGGCAUUCAUCUUUCAGAUCUGCUACGUUUACCAAAGGACAUUUGAGAGGACAGUGCUGCUCUACAGUGAAGGUGGCUCAUGAUCUUAAUUCUGGGUCUGAAACUUUCUGCCUAGUUUUGUGAGCCUCAAAGCAGCAAAAAGAGCUGCAGGAUCCAUGUAGCCAGGUGUCAAGGAGACGGGUGCAAGAUCAUCCCCAGAGAACCAAGGUUCCAGCAGAAGCACGGUAGGUCCCCAUGGAUGUGCAGGCCAGGGGCGCACCGAGCCCAGUGCUCAGCCACGGGGCGGGUAGCAGCGGGCGCGCAGGGUGUCCAACACCCGCCAUCCGGCUCCCCUGCGGCCAGGCCACGCUUUGUGCUCUGCGCUGGGGCAACGCAGCAUCCGACAGAGGUGUUCUUUUUCCAGCAGAAGGGAUGAAACAGGGAGACUUGAUUGGAUUUCCUUCCUUUAGAGGAGAUUGGGAAGGACCUAAUAUUCCCCGGUGCGGGAUAAACUCGUCCUUGUCUUUCUUCACUUCACGGCACUGUGGGCGGAUGCAUGCCGGAGCCUCCCCCCUCAGGCGUUAAGAACCGGAGGAGGGCUGGGGGAGAACUCGGGCCGCUCUGGGGAAGCGCACCGGCCCUUCGCGCUCCUCGCCGGCUGCCCCGUGGCCAUUUCCCACCCUCCCCGCGGCAGCCCCCACGCUCCGGCCUCCCCUCUCCCCUCAGGCGGGGCCGCGGGCGCUGCGCGGGCCCUCGUCCCCCUCAGCCGCCGACCUCCGCCCGCCGAGGGGCAGGCCCGGCGGCUCCCGCCUGCCCCAGCCCUCACGGGGCCUCUCGCCCCCCGGCGCGGAGGCGCCUGUCAGCACC